rnacentral:tRNA from 1 species
GGGCCUAUAGCUCAGUUGGGAGAGCGUACGGUUCGCAUCCGUAAGGUCGUCGGUUCGAUCCCGAUUAGGUCCACCA